ACGGGGGGGGCUAGCGUUGUUCGGAAUUACUGGGCGUAAAGGGCGCGUAGGCGGCCUACUAAGUCGGACGUGAAAUCCCCCGGCUUAACCGGGGAACUGCGUCGGAAACUGCCUUUCUAGAGUACGGAAGAGGAAAGUGGAAUUCCAGGUGUAGCGGUGAAAUGCGUAGAUAUCUGGAAGAACACCGGUGGCGAAGGCGGCUUUCUGGUCCGAUGCUGACGCUGAGACGCGAAGGCUAGGGGAGCAAACAGGA
rnacentral:rRNA from 1 species